ensembl:lncRNA
UAAAAACUGUGGAUGGAAAUGUGAUUAGUGAUAAUUGAAAUAGUGUCACCAUGAACACUCAGUGAAUAACAAUAAGGAGUAAAAAUAACAUGGCUAUAUACAGGAUGUAGAAAAUAACAUGGCUAUAUUCAGGGAGUACAUGUACCAAGUCGAUGUGCUGGGGUACGAGGUAAUAACAUGGCUAUAUUCAGGGAGUACAUGUACCAAGUCGAUGUGCUGGGGUACGAGGUAAUAACAUGGCUAUAUUCAGGGAGUACAUGUACCAAGUUGAUGUGCUGGGGUAGGAGGUAAUAACAUGGCUAUAUACAGGGAGUACAUGUACCAAGUUGAUGUGCUGGGGUAGGAGGUAAUAACAUGGCUAUAUACAGGGAUUACAUGUACCAAGUUGAUGUGCUGGGGUAGGAGGUAAUAACAUGGCUAUAUUCAGGGAGUACAUGUACCAAGUUGAUGUGCUGGGGUACGAGGUAAUAACAUGUCUAUAUUCAGGGAGUACAUGUACCAAGUUGAUGUGCUGGGGUACGAGGUAAUAACAUGGCUAUAUACAGGGAGUACAUGUACCAAGUUGAUGUGCUGGGGUACGAGGUAAUAACAUGGCUAUAUACAGGGAUUACAUGUACCAAGUCGAUGUGCUGGGGUAGGAGGUAAUAACGUGGCUAUAUACAGGGAUUACAUGUACCAAGUCGAUGUGCUGGGGUAGGAGGUAAUAACAUGGCUAUAUACAGGGAUUACAUGUACCAAGUUGAUGUGCUGGGGUAGGAGGUAAUAACAUGGCUAUAUUCAGGGAGUACAUGUACCAAGUUGAUGUGCUGGGGUACGAGGUAAUAACAUGUCUAUAUUCAG